GACGAACGCUGGCGGCGUGCUUAACACAUGCAAGUCGAACGGAAAGGCCCUGCUUUUGUGGGGUGCUCGAGUGGCGAACGGGUGAGUAACACGUGAGUAGCCUGCCCUUGACUUUGGGAUAACUUCAGGAAACUGGGGCUAAUACCGGAUAGGAGCUCCUGCUGCAUGGUGGGGGUUGGAAAGUUUCGGCGGUUGGGGAUGGACUCGCGGCUUAUCAGCUUGUUGGUGGGGUAGUGGCUUACCAAGGCUUUGACGGGUAGCCGGCCUGAGAGGGUGACCGGCCACAUUGGGACUGAGAUACGGCCCAGACUCCUACGGGAGGCAGCAGUGGGGAAUAUUGCACAAUGGGCGGAAGCCUGAUGCAGCAACGCCGCGUGCGGGAUGAUGGCCUUCGGGUUGUAAACCGCUUUCGCCUGUGACGAAGCGUGAGUGACGGUAAUGGGUAAAGAAGCACCGGCUAACUACGUG
rnacentral:rRNA from 1 species